UAAAAGCAUCGCUUGUAUUAUUAUUAUUAUUAUUAUUAUUAUUAUUUUCAGUUCUAUUAAUGCAAUUUUUAGGGUCAUACCACGAAGUAAAGUGCAUAUUGUUAGCAGUGUUACAAGAGGCAAAUGGUGAACAUGUUACAUCAAGUUCUUUGAGGGUGAAGCUAUUAAAUUCCAGUGGCUUCCCUACACAGAAAGUCGGCGUUUCAAAGUGGAACCGAUUACACUUUGUGAAAAGCAAGCUGUCUGUGAUAACAGCAUGGAAAUCCUACAAAGGAACAGUUUGAACCUUCCACGGAUUUCAAGGGGAGAUAGAUGUUUUCAUUCUCGCUUCAACAAGGUAAAAUGUAUUCAGAAGCUUUCCAGUGGGCUUUACAAGUAUCAGCCAUAUCUUCAGUUUGUGCAGCAAAUCUUCCCCAAAGAGGAGACCAAAGUCAAGCAUUUAAUCUACAAAACCAAUCAUCUUGCUCAUAUUGUGGCC